CCCAGGUCGCUGCGCCGGGGCACCUCGUACCUGUGACGCCCAGGCCCUGCAGGCAGCAGAAGUGAGGCACGCGGAGCCCCGGCCCCGGCGGCUGGGGGCACGGCUGGUGGAGACCCACGCCCAGAUCUAUUUUGUGGGGGGACUUUCUCCUCGAGUGUGGGCUGGACUUCAGGGCUUAUUUGUGGUGUAGACUUCCAGGACUAGGGAAGCCUCCCCCCUUGCCAUGCUCUCACAACACACUUGAGUUGCCAUGUCGCAAGCACCCUCAAGUAGCCUCUGGAGAGACAAGGAACCGAGGUCUCCUGCCAACAGCCACAUGAGGGAGCCAUCCUGGAAGAAGAACCUCCAGCCUCGGCUUCCUCGUGCUGAAGACCGUUAGAUGGAGCCUAAGCACCAUACUUGGGGGCUAUUUUGUUGGAAAUCACCCAUAAAAAGUACAAAAAUGUGAAGAACAUGGCACUAAGAAGACUGUGACAAGGGUACCCGUUUACAGUAGGAGAGCUGAAACAAGAAGGGGGAGCAUCAGCUGGUUCAGUCUCAGCUGGGAAGAGAGAGAGAGAGCACAAACAAGAGGAGCGGCAGGCGGAAAGAGAAACAGUCUCCCCGCCGAGCAAGAAGCCCAACGUGGAACUCCAUCCCAGGACCCCAGGACCAUGACACCGAGCGGAAUGGCAGACGCCUAACUGACUGAGCUACUCAGACAUCCCUCACCUGGUUCUUCAAAGGAGAAUUUCAAAUGCACCCCAAAGUAGAGAGAAGAGUUUAAUGAACUUCCACAUUUCUAACACCUGGCAUCAACAUUUAACAAUAUUUUGUCAACAGUGUUUCCUCUAAUCUAUCUCCCCUCCCUGAGGCAUAUUUUGGUUUUGUUUAUUCUGGAGCCUUUAAAGCAAAUUCCAUGGGUGCCUGGCUGACUUAGGCGGUAAAACAUGUGACUCUUGAUCUCAGGGUGGUGAGUUCAAGCACCAUGUUGGAUGUAGAGAUUACUUAAAAAAAAAAAAAAGUUAAAAAAAGAAAGCAAGGGCGCCUGGGUGGCUCAGUGGGUUAAGCCGCUGCCUUCGGCUCGGGUCAUGAUCUCAGGGUCCUGGGAUCGAGGCCCGCGUCGGGCUCUCUGCUCAGCGGGGAGCCUGCUUCCUCCUCUCUCUCUCCGCCUGCCUCUCUGCCUACUUGUGACCUCUGUCUGUCAAAUAAAAAUAAAUAAAAUCUUAAAAAAAAAAAAGAAAGCAAAUUCCAGAUAUAUCUAUAUCUAUA